AGUGAACGCUGGCGGUAGGCCUAACACAUGCAAGUCGAACGGCAGCACAGUAAGAGCUUGCUCUUACGGGUGGCGAGUGGCGGACGGGUGAGGAAUACAUCGGAAUCUACUUUUUCGUGGGGGAUAACGUAGGGAAACUUACGCUAAUACCGCAUACGACCUACGGGUGAAAGCAGGGGAUCUUCGGACCUUGCGCGAUUGAAUGGGCCGAUGUCGGAUUAGCUAGUUGGCGGGGUAAAGGCCCACCAAGGCGACGAUCCGUAGCUGGUCUGAGAGGAUGAUCAGCCACACUGGAACUGAGACACGGUCCAGACUCCUACGGGAGGCAGCAGUGGGGAAUAUUGGACAAUGGGCGCAAGCCUGAUCCAGCCAUACCGCGUGGGUGAAGAAGGCCUUCGGGUUGUAAAGCCCUUUGUUGGGAAAGAAAAGCAGCAGGUUAAUACCCCGCUGUUCUGACGGUACCCAAAGAAUAAGCACCGGCUAACUUCGUG
rnacentral:rRNA from 1 species